rnacentral:sRNA from 1 species
AAUACCUAACUGCAAGAACUGCCACAUCCCUGGUGGUCUGACCGUGUCUCUGAGCUAAGCAGCAGAUUUCAGCCACAGGGUCUGACUCUCAGGCAGACACAUCCUGUCCAAGGACUGGAGACAGAGCAUCCGUUCUCCCACCCGGAGCGGUCAGCUGCAUGUGGCUGGCUGGGGGCGCUUCAGAAACGGCCCAAGAGAAAUGGAAAUAUGAUGGCUGGUUGAUUGUUUUGCAGUCUGCAUGACAGACCAC